UCGGCUUAGAGUUUGAUCCUGGCUCAGAUUGAACGCUGGCGGCAGGCCUAACACAUGCAAGUCGAGCGGUAGGGAAGCUUGCUUCCCACGAGCGGCGGACGGGUGAGUAAUGUAUGGGGAUCUGCCCGAUAGAGGGGGAUAACUACUGGAAACGGUAGCUAAUACCGCAUAAUCUCCCAGGAGCAAAGCAGUUCGUUGCGCUAUCGGAUGAACCCACAUGGGAUUAGCUAGUUGGUGAGGUAAUGGCUCACCAAGGCGACGAUCCCUAGCUGGUCUGAGAGGAUGAUCAGCCACACUGGGACUGAGACACGGCCCAGACUCCUACGGGAGGCAGCAGUGGGGAAUAUUGCACAAUGGGCGCAAGCCUGAUGCAGCCAUGC
rnacentral:rRNA from 1 species